rnacentral:sRNA from 1 species
CGGAGGAGGCGAUCUGGCGAUCUUCGAUCGUGCCUCGACGGAAGGAGCCGUCGGCGAGUCGCCGUCGUCGCCGAGUUAUGACACCUCGCUACGCGUUUUGGGGCUUCCGACUAGACGCCGUGCCUCGGACGACAGACUGUCUAGAUAUCGCCGAGAAGGUAGGAUCAUCAGCAUGGUGAGAAGUGUACACUGAUCAGUGUCAAGAUUCCCUAUCAACUCGCGAAUCUCGAAUCGGUGUGCGCGUUCGGCACACUUAAUGGAGCCGUCUGGUGUGAUGACCUGCUGGUGGUGCCAAUCUUUCAGCAUAGUCGGUUGAUAUAUCGCAUACGUGCGUGUGCGGUCUCUUCGUCUCGUGGUACGCCCACGAAGUCUCUCGCGCGGUUACGAAGGGGUCAAACGAAGCCGACAAACGUAUUACGGACAACGUCAAGAGAGA